rnacentral:rRNA from 1 species
GUGCCAGCAGCCGCGGUAAUACGUAGGGUCCAAGCGUUAAUCGGAAUUACUGGGCGUAAAGCGUGCGCAGGCGGUUGCGCAAGACCGAUGUGAAAUCCCCGAGCUUAACUUGGGAAUUGCAUUGGUGACUGCACGGCUAGAGUGUGUCAGAGGGGGGUAGAAUUCCACGUGUAGCAGUGAAAUGCGUAGAGAUGUGGAGGAAUACCGAUGGCGAAGGCAGCCCCCUGGGAUAACACUGACGCUCAUGCACGAAAGCGUGGGGAGCAAACAGGAUUAGAUACCCUGGUAGUCCACGCCCUAAACGAUGUCAACUAGUUGUUGGGGAUUCAUUUCCUUAGUAACGUAGCUAACGCGUGAAGUUGACCGCCUGGGGAGUACGGUCGCAAGAUUAAAACUCAAAGGAAUUGACGGGGACCCGCACAAGCGGUGGAUGAUGUGGAUUAAUUCGAUGCAACGCGAAAAACCUUACCUACCCUUGACAUGCCACUAACGAAGCAGAGAUGCAUUAGGUGCUCGAAAGAGAAAG